UGUUAAAAUUCUUAACUAUUUCUAUUAUUAAAAAUUAGAGUAAUUAACGGAAUAAUCAAAUAGUUACACGUGGCAUGACACAUGUACCUCAUAUUGACAUAUAAGAACUAUUUUUUAACGAUAAAAAUGAAUGAUAUUUUUAACA
rfam:Gossypium raimondii Chr08_contig_1270, whole genome shotgun sequence.